CUCAGUGACUUGAAUAAAUACUUUUCGAUUUUAUAUCUUGAGCUGGUCUGGUCAUCCAUAUCUUUUCAUGCAACAGUAAACACUUCUAUAGUUAAUGUCAUUAUUGAUACGUUUGUCGUAAAUAAAUUUGUUUCCAACCAGCUUUAUUGUCCUUUAUUUUCUAUCUUAGAGAUGUUUGAACGAUUUUUUCAAUUCUUCAUUUGGCACUUUGGAGAUUUGAUGUUUACAAAUCUUGUUUUUAUUUCUGAAACUGAUUUGCUUUAUUGCCAAAAUGUAUCAUAUUUAUCAACCUCAAGAAGUAAAUAAUUACUGAUUAGUCCACUGGAGAAUUUAGCAGUCAAAGAAUAUUCCUCUGAUAAUCAUUUCUCACUUCCUCCCUUUUUAGAUUGAAAUUAUUUUGGAUUUUUAGACCCUUUUUUAAAAUUUCACAAUUAUGCGAAUAUCAAUAUGCAUCAUGUCUUUUUGAGUUACGAUUAUCUAGUUUUGUUUUGAAAAGUAUUUAUGACUAUAACAAUUGUUCUACUGUUACAUGUCUGUGUGGUCCCAUUGCUGGCCAUAAACCUUUCUACCCCUUGUUUCAUUCCUGCUUCUUUUAAAAUUCACCAUAAUUUUCUGUGUAAUUCUCAAGGUUACUUUUUUACAAGGAAAAUGGUGGGAGAUAAGUUUAUGUAAUUCCUUCCUCCUAUAAUCUUAUCAAUGGAACAACUUUGCUAGGCAUCCAGUUACUACAUAGCAGUAUUUCCUUUCUCUGGCCACUUCUUGUACACCAGCUCUGAGUCCCAGAGAUGUGGUGCUCUCCUCUCCUAGGAUUUAAUGUGUGGAGGGUAGCCCUGCCUUCCCUUCAUUUAGUAGGUAAUGCUUUAGUAGGGAUGGUCUUUGUGAUUGUUGUUUUUCUAUCUAGACUUUUGCAUUAUUUUCUUCUUCUCUUUCUUCAACUCCACCUUUUUCUUCUUUGUUUUCAAAACUCAAAUUCUCAGUAAUUUGCACUAGGAACAAAAAGCAUCUUUAAGGCAUCAGAGCUUACUUUAACUCAUUUUCCCACAGUUAUGUUCCUGAUUGCUGCUUCUGCCUUAUUCAUUGUUGCCUCUCUUUUUUAUUUAUCUUGUUUGUUCUUUUAUUCUUCAUCCUGAGGUGUUUCUUCAUAUACUAACGAUAUAUUUAAAUUCUGAUCUUUUCUGUAUUAAACUUCAUUAUCAUUGUUUGCCUUAAUUUUAUUUUCUUGUUUCAUAUGAAUCCUUUUAUAUUUAUACCUUCAUCUAAUCUACCUCCUUAUCUUAUCUUACAUUAGGACUCUUAUCUGCAAGUGACAGAAACUGAAAUUGAAUUGAACUGAACAUACAGAAGGAACUUAGUGGCUCCUGUCACAGAAAAUGUCAGGAGGCACAUUAAGAACUCAACAAUGAGAACACACGGACACAGGGAGGGGACCAUCACACACUGGGGCCUGUCAACGGGCAGGGGGCUAGGGAACGGAUAACAUAUCUGAUGUAGAUGACGGGUUGAUGGGUGCAGCAAACCACCAUGGCACGUGUAUGCUUGUUUAACACACCUGCCCGUUCUGCAUAUGUAUCCCAGAACAUAAAGUAUAAUUGGGAAAAAAAAAAAAAAAAAAAA
rnacentral:lncRNA from 1 species